rnacentral:lncRNA from 1 species
GCGACAGAGCCUUAAGUGAACCCAUGCUUCCUGGAUCCCCACUUAGCCUUGUCCUUCCUGCUAGUGGGUGAGCGAGAGAGAGGGGCCCCCUGGCUAAGAGACUUGGCAGGGGUGAUGACAAGAUGCUCAGCAGGAUAGAGCCAUCAGACUGUGGCUGUCAUCGGGAAAGACAGAGACGUUUCUGCUUACAACUUUGAGGCUUCCAAACUUUUCCUGGUACGAGAGAGUGUUUCUUCCACCUUAAACUACAUGAUGGAAAGAUAUGUGAGAAUAGAAAAAAAAAAGCGUGUGUUGCUAUGGAACUGCAAAUCCCUGAUAGAAGUCUUCCUCUGAACCACAUCCUGCAUCGACGAGACCACCCAGCUAGUCUUAGAGCAAGAUGGAGUGGCCCUCUCAAAUGCUAUCAUUUGCUGUUACCUACAUUCCUCCAGGCCCUAUGUAGCAGCCCCUAUCAUAGCCAUCACCCUCAGGAUUUGAAUCAAUUCCCCAGUUAGCACACUAGGGGAAAACAAAGGCCUCAUUUGAAGUCUCUCCUGACUGUAUUCCUUAGGAAGCUGUCCCACAAUGCCUCGGUGAGGGCUGGCAGGCGAGCUGACUAGCCCCUGCCGGACAACUGUCAGGUUGGUUGAAGGAUAUUAGAGGGAAGUUGAUCAUGUGUCAACGCUUCUCAGCGCCCACUCACAUCAGGGAAGUGAUACAGCUGUCACUGUGGCCGACGAGGCGGCUGGCAGAACAGGCCACGUUCACCAACCCAGCUGUCCAAUUAGAUGCAAGGGCCUGACCCUCAGGUGUGCGGGAGGCAGGGAAGAAGUGCUGAGGAGGACACCACUACCAGCGGUCUCUGAGGCUCCUGGGCUGCCUCCCUGGCUGCCUGUGUCCCACUGAACAGAUCAGGGAUGCAGGGACAUUCAGUCCAGUGAUGCUGGCUCCUUCAUUCUAACCUUCUCCCAUCUGCAUUUCUUUAUCCUGUUUCCUCCC